GUGACUCUUCCUUCCCAGCCUACAGAACUUUAAUAGCAUUUUCAAUUAACAGAAGUGCAAGGAGCUCCUGUUGGACCUGUGUUCCAUGAGGAAGGCUUUCACUAGCCCUUCAUGAUAGGUUCAAACACUUGAAGACCUGAGGAAUUUCAGAGUUGACAUUUAGAUAUUGAGGUAACAGGACAUCUUGGAGUUGAAAUUUCCAGAAUCUUUGCUGGAAAGUCUCAUAAUCUCAAAACAAAAUCAAGCAAAUUUGGAGCAAAGAAAGUUGCUGAAAAUGUCAAGGCAUGAAAUCCAAGCAAUGUUCACUUACUUCACCAGGAGCACAUGCCAUCUCAAGAAACCACUGUCUUUGCUCAUCCAUAAAUAACAACUUCUCAUCCGUUCAAGUAUAUUCAUAAGAUUUGAGCAAUUCAGUCAUCUCUUCAGUCCCCAUUUCUAAUUUUAGUUUUCUUGCUGCUUCCACCACAUCUGAAGUUAUCUCCUCCACUGAAGUCCUCAACCUCUCAAACUCAUCCAUGAGGGUUGGAAUCAAUUUCUUUCAAACUCCAAUUGAUGUUGAUAUUUUAACCUCCUCCCGUAAGUCAUGAAUAUUAUUAAUGGCGUAUAGAAUGAUAAAUUAUUU
rnacentral:lncRNA from 1 species